AUGGGGUGGGCCGCCCAGGGGCCAGGGCCCCUGCUUGGAGAAGAGGCCACAGCCCCUUCCCUGCCGCUCCCGCCCCUGGCUCCCUCCUCCCCGGCCCCGCCCAGCCCCACCGGGAGAGACGGGCGGACCCAGGGCCCAACAGGCGCAGAGCGGCUCCACCCGAUCCCUGAAGGGUUGGUCUCUGGACCCGAGGGCUGUGGAACCUCUGGACUGCUGGCACGCCGGGGGCUGCUGCGGGAGGCCAGGGAGGGACGCUGUCCCACGGACACUGAGGCCUCGGUGGACCCCAUGCCGGGUGCCGGGAAUAUCCACAUGAAGGCAGAAGCCCACGCAGCAGGGACUGCUCACCCCGCCCUCCUGCCCCACAGCCCGAGGGUCCCCGGGGCUCGGCCUGCGGAAGCCCGUCCAGCUUCUGACCAGGGGCCCGCGCCCAACUCCAGCGAGCGUUGCUGAAGCACGUGGCCAUCGUGUGGUGUCACGGGCCGUGUGGCUGCGCCCCAGGACUGAGCGUGCACCCCUAAAGCACGGCGGCUGGCUCAGGGGUGAGCCCCCUGGAGGGAGGGCCGGGCCCGCUCAGCCGGGUGGUGGCGGGGGGCACACAGCUCUCUGGGAGGAAGAAGGAUGGGGGGUUGGCGGGCUCACUGUGUAGUGGGACACUUCCCUCGUCUUGGGUGUGUUGUCUGAUGACAGCUCUGUUGGCGCGGCUCACACACCCUGUGUUCACCCGUUAGCGUGCGCAAUGAAGCCAUUUUCACUGUAUUUGCAGAGUUGUGCAGCCAUCAUGUGCCCGUCAGUCUGAAACCUGGUGCCGUACCCACUGCUCCGCACCCCCUCCUCGGCCGGAGGCAGCCACCGAGCCACUUGUUGUCUUAGGAGUUGCUUACUCUGGACAGCUCGUGGAAGCAAAGCUGCAGCAUGCGACCUCUUACGUCUGCCUUCUUUCCCUCAGCAUGAUUUCCAGAUUCAUCCGUGUCGUAGCUCUGUCAGCGCGUUGUUCCUUUUAAUGGUUGAAUAAUAUUCCUUUGUACAGAUUUUAUUUCUUUACUCAUCGUGUGUUAGACAUUUGUGUUGCUUCUACUUUUUGGCCACUUUGAAUAAAGCUGCUAUGGACAUGUGUGUAUGAAUUUUC
rnacentral:lncRNA from 12 species